GUCUACAGCCAUAACACCCUGAACACGCCCACGAUCUCGACUGAUCCUGGAAGCUAAGCAGGGUGGAGCCUGGUUAGUACUUGGAUGGGAUUCUGCCUGGGAAUACCAGGUGCUGUAGGCU
rnacentral:rRNA from 1 species